rnacentral:rRNA from 1 species
AGACGUCUACAUUAGAUACCCGGGUAGUCCCAGCCGUAAACUAUGCGCGUUAGGUGUAUCGGUGACCACGAGUCACCGAGGUGCCGAAGGGAAACCGUGAAACGUGCCGCCUGGGAAGUACGGUCGCAAGGCUGAAACUUAAAGGAAUUGGCGGGGAGCACCACAACGGGUGGAGCCUGCGGUUUAAUUGGACUCAAUGCCGGGAAGCUCACCGGAUAGGACAGCAGAAUGAUUGCCGGGCUGAAGACCCUGCAUGACUAGCUG